rnacentral:rRNA from 1 species
UACAGAGGGUGCGAGCGUUAAUCGGAAUUACUGGGCGUAAAGCGCACGUAGGCGGCUUGGUAUGUCGGGUGUGAAAUCCCCGGGCUCAACCUGGGAACUGCAUCCGAAACUGCCUUGCUCGAGUAUGGGAGAGGGAAGUGGAAUUUCCGGUGUAGCGGUGAAAUGCGUAGAUAUCGGAAGGAACAUCAGUGGCGAAGGCGACUUCCUGGACCAAUACUGACGCUCAGGUGCGAAAGCUAGGGGAGCAAACAGG